rnacentral:sRNA from 1 species
GGCCUCCCAAAGUGCUGGGAUUACAAGCGUGAGCCACCGCACCCGGCCAGAUUUCUUUGUUCCUUCUUCACUCCCACUGCUUCACUUGAUAAGCCUUUA